UACGUAGGGGGCAAGCGUUGUCCGGAUUUAUUGGGCGUAAAGAGCGUGUAGGCGGCUGGGUAGGUCCGUUGUGAAAACUCGAGGCUCAACCUCGAGACGCCGAUGGAAACCCCCCAGCUAGAGUCCGGAAGAGGAGAGUGGAAUUCCUGGUGUAGCGGUGAAAUGCGUAGAUAUCAGGAGGAACACCCGUGGCGAAGGCGGCUCUCUAUCUCGAUUCUGACGCUGAGGCGCGAAAGCUAGGGGAGCAAACGGG
rnacentral:rRNA from 1 species